rnacentral:lncRNA from 1 species
AUAAGAACCGCUGCCCCUCUUGGGCAGAGCUCAGAUUAUUUGGAAUGACGUUAAGGUUAUUUUCUUGGUGGUUUGCCAUUGUGGAUCUCAGUGGGUUUUGAAAAUGAAAACUCCGGUGAUGAAAAGAUCUCCUUCGCUUCCCACAGACGGCGCCAUUUGAUAAAUAUUUUCCUCUUCCUGGUCCAUGAUAGAUCUGGUUUUCUUCUGGGUCCCUUCUUGCUGGGCUCCCUGGUGGAUCUCUCCAUGUUCUUCCUGGUGAAGGGACCUGUAAAAUAAGAAAGAAAGGUCAGGGGCCUACCGGGUGUGCCCCGGCAGAGGCCCUCCGACGCUCAAGUCAGAUUUUAUGGCUCAGAGUUGUAUAUUUAGGCAAGGGUUACAGAAAGAAUAAAAAUGGUGUCCAGGAAGGAAAAGGAAGAAGAAGAGAGCCCCCCCUUUGCGUGGCCUUUACCGUGAUAUAUAUAUCUGUCUCUCUGCCACAAUGCUAGCUGUCUUCUGCCGUCUAGCUAGCUCCGUAUGUACGGAUGUGUCAGGCGCCUGCUCCAUGCGUAACGGCAAUUGAUUCUCCUCUGAUACGCAUGCGGAAGGACCUACCAGCGGGGCAUCUUGGUCAUUUUCCCCUUUCUGGGCUGGGUUGAAUGGUAGGGCUGAAGUUGAGCCUGGUGAGGGCCUGAUUACUGGGCCAAGAGGUUUGGGCCGGC